rnacentral:ncRNA from 1 species
AGCACUCUUGGAUAGUGCUGGCAGAUGUAAGUCCGACGUGCGGCAACGCACGGGCCGGAGGGGGUUCUCCCCCGGCCUCUGGGAUUAC